CCCUAGAGGAGCCUGUUCCAUAAUCGAUAAACCCCGAUCCACCUCACCCUCUCUUGCUUAGCCUAUAUACCGCCAUCUUCAGCAAACCCUGAUAAAGGUUACAAAGUGAGCACAAACGCCCUGCCGCCGCAAAAACGUUAGGUCAAGGUGUAGCCCAUGAGGGGGGUAAAAAUGGGCUACAUUUUCUACAUCAGAAAACCCCACGAAAACUCUUAUGAAACCUAAGAGUCCAAGGAGGAUUUAGCAGUAAAUUAAGAAUAGAGUGCUUAAUUGAACCAGGCCAUAAAGCGCGUACACACCGCCCGUCACUCCCCUCAAAUGUAUUUAAAGGACAUCUUAACUAAACACCCUAAUAUUUACAUAGAGGGGAUAAGUCGUAACAUGGUAAGUGUACUGGAAGGUGCACUUGGAC
rnacentral:rRNA from 1 species